rnacentral:rRNA from 1 species
UACGGGGGGGGCAAGCGUUGUUCGGAAUUACUGGGCGUAAAGGGCUCGUAGGCGGCCAACUAAGUCAGACGUGAAAUCCCUCGGCUUAACCGGGGAACUGCGUCUGAUACUGGAUGGCUUGAAUCCGGGAGAGGGAUGCGGAAUUCCAGGUGUAGCGGUGAAAUGCGUAGAUAUCGGGAGGAACACCAGUGGCGAAGGCGAUCUUCUGGACGGAUACUGACGUUGAGGCGCGAAAGCUAGGGGAGCAAACAGG